GACGAACGCUGGCGGCGUGCUUAACACAUGCAAGUCGAACGGAAAGGCCCUGCUUUUGUGGGGUGCUCGAGUGGCGAACGGGUGAGUAACACGUGAGUAACCUGUCCUUGACUUUGGGAUAACUUCAGGAAACUGGGGCUAAUACCGGAUAGGAGCUCCUGCUGCAUGGUGGGGGUUGGAAAGUUUCGGCGGUUGGGGAUGGACUCGCGGCUUAUCAGCUUGUUGGUGGGGUAGUGGCUUACCAAGGCUUUGACGGGUAGCCGGCCUGAGAGGGUGACCGGCCACAUUGGGACUGAGAUACGGCCCAGACUCCUACGGGAGGCAGCAGUGGGGAAUAUUGCACAAUGGGCGGAAGCCUGAUGCAGCAACGCCGCGUGCGGGAUGACGGCCUUCGGGUUGUAAACCGCUUUCGCCUGUGACGAAGCGUGAGUGACGGUAAUGGGUAAAGAAGCACCGGCUAACUACGU
rnacentral:rRNA from 1 species